CCCUCCCACAAAGGCGUGCCUGGAUCCCCUGUGUUCAGGCACGUAAGAACUGGAGGCAGAUUAACGGGAAUGAAGAGUUAUGGUUGGGGCUGCUGGAAUUUCAGCUGGCCACACAUCUCUUUUCCGACACUC
ensembl:snoRNA